AUACGUAGGGGGCGAGCGUUGUCCGGAAUUACUGGGCGUAAAGCGCGGGCAGGCGGUGGUCCAAGUCGGACGUGAAAGCUCCCGGCUCAACUGGGAGAGGUCGUUCGAAACUGGGCCGCUAGAGGGCAGUAGAGGGGCGUGGAAUUCCGGGUGGAGUGGUGAAAUGCGUAGAGAUCCGGAGGAACACCAGAGGCGAAGGCGGCGCCCUGGGCUGCACCUGACGCUGAGCCGCGAAAGCUAGGGGAGCGAACGGGAUUAGAAACCCCGGUAGUCCUAGCCGUAAACGAUGUCCACUAGAUGUCUGGGCGGAGCGCCUGGGCGUCGCAGCUAACGCGUUAAGUGGACCGCCUGGGGAGUACGGCCGCAAGGCUAAA
rnacentral:rRNA from 1 species